AACCGUCGACACGAGUUGUUGCUGGUCCUCGAAAGGGGGCACGUGCACGCUCUGUUUACACAUCCACUCACACCUGUGCACCCUCUGUAGUUCUAUGGCCUUGGGGACUCUGUCCUCUUGCCGUGGUCCUACGUCUUUACACACACACGCCGUAAUGAAGUCUCAUGGAAUGUAUGUCGCGUUUAACGCAAUACAAUACAACUUUCAGCAACGGAUCUCUUGGCUCUCGCAUCGAUGAAGAACGCAGCGAAAUGCGAUAAGUAAUGUGAAUUGCAGAAUUCAGUGAAUCAUCGAAUCUUUGAACGCACCUUGCGCCCUUUGGCUAUUCUGAAGGGCAUGCCUGUUUGAGUAUCAUGAACACCUCAACUCUCAUGGUCCGCCAUGAUGAGCUUGGACUUUGGGGGUCUUGCCGGCCUGCCGUCGGCUCCUCUCAAAAGAAUCAGCUUGCCAGUGUUUGGUGGCGUCACAGGUGUGAUAGUUAUCUACGCUUGUGGUCUGCCGCCAGGUAACCUCCAGUGAUGGAGGUUCGCUGGAGCUCACAAAUGUCUCUCCUCAGUGAGGACAGCUUCUUGAACGUUUGAUCUCAAAUCAGGUAGGACUACCCGCUGAACUUAA
rnacentral:rRNA from 1 species